GGCAAUCAUCCCGCCCGAUUUUUUCAAUCUUCCUCAAAAACCUAAACCCCAAAUCCUCAAAACCUACAUUGAGCAUCUGCCCUGAAACAUCAUGCACUUUGUCUCGCUAUCGAACACCCAGCAAUAACCACUGAUCAUACAAAUUUAGAGAUCGAUUUCCAUCACUCCAAUGACCUACAGAUUCAAUAGUUCGCGAUAUUCGGCCAUUGAUUUGCUCUAGCGGUGGUGCUGCUCAAUCGUGAAUUCAUAGAACAGUGGGUUAAAAUCGGUUUGCUUGCCAAGAACAAAGUGAAAGCAGAUUGCAGCGAUUUGGAGUACUCGGAUCUAUGCACUAAGUGUGAGAAGUGAAGAGGAGUGAUCCAUAGAGAAGCUGCAGAGAAAUGGUUGUUGGUGGUACAGAGAUUGGACCAGAAUGGUGUGAGGUAAACGUUCAAGUACCAAUAAAAAAGAUGAAAACUUGGUAAGACUAUAUGGUUUAUUUUAUACAAUUCAAGAUUGUAUUGGUCCAUCCGCGGCAUGGCCCUAUCCAUUCAUCUCGGUAGUCCAUGAGGAAUGAGGACGCAUGAUGACUCAAGAUUUUAUGCUUCUUAUUUCUUUAUUUGCUUUUAAUUUCUUUGUUAAAUGUUAAGACUUUAUGUUAGAUAAUGUUAUAACUUAUUUGUGGUUAGUGUUUUUGUUAUGAACAUGCUUAUUUGAAAUAUAAUGAAGUUUUAUUUCUUUCAUUA